GAGCCUGUAGCUCAGGGGACAGAGCGUGGGGCUCCGGACCCCAAGGUCGGGGGUUCAAAUCCCCCCAGGCUCACUA
rnacentral:tRNA from 1 species